rnacentral:rRNA from 1 species
GACAGAGGGUGCAAACGUUGUUCGGAAUUACUGGGCGUAAAGCGCGUGUAGGCGGCCCUGCAAGUCGGGUGUGAAAUCCCAUGGCUCAACUAUGGAAGUGCAUUCGAAACUGCAGGGCUAGAGUCCUGGAGAGGAAGGUGGAAUGCUUGGUGUAGAGGUGAAAUUCGUAGAUAUCAAGAGGAACACCAAUGGCGAAGGCAGCUCGCUGGGACGUGACUGACGCUGAGACGCGAAAGCGUGGGGAGCAAACAGG